rnacentral:tRNA from 1 species
GCCCGGCUAGCUCAAUUGGUAGAGCACCUGUCUUGUAAACAGGAGGUUUCCGGUUCAAGUCCGGAGCCGGGCU